UGGCGAUAUUGCUCCAAUUAAAGAAUCUUGACUACUGUCCGGAAUAGAUAGUGUGCGGUGAUGUCACACGCAACACGCGGUUUUAUUUACGCAGCCAUACUGGAUGGUAAGCUCUGUGUACACACAGCACGGCCAAUGCUGGAUCGUCGGUGGACGGCCAAGCUAAUUUGUCCGACAUAGCUAAAGCACUCGAUCCUGAACAUCAGAAGAGGUAUUUAGAGAAAAUACAGAGAAUCACUGUGGAUCCUGACAAUAUUUCCCACAGAAGUUCACCA